rnacentral:misc_RNA from 1 species
GCAUAGUUUUGGAAUUGGAGUAAAAGAGCAUAGAACACUUACCUGAGAGAGUGAGAUGCCAUGGCUGGAGCUAGAACACAGGAAACCCUAAAGAAAAAAGCAAAUAUGAGCUUAAAAUGAAAGAGGCAGCUCCUCUCUCGCCGUGGCGCCUAGGCGAGAGAGGCACUCGCCUCUGUCAAUCAAGGCGAGGAGAGGCAGCAUCGCCUUGCCUGGCGCCUUUUUGCGCCUUUAACCACACUGCUACACG